rnacentral:rRNA from 1 species
CUUGUAUCAACGGCAUCACGAGGGUUAUACUGUCUCCUUUUUCUAAUCAGUGAAACUAAUCUUCCCGUGAAGAAGCGGGAAUACUCCCAUAAGACGAGAAGACCCCAUGGAGCUUCAAACCCAAUUACACCCCUAACCCAUAUAACUAUUUAACCCUUAGGGCCCUGUACCAUUGGUUUUAGGUUGGGGCGACCACGGAGUACAACAAAACCUCCACAAUGAACGGAACUACUCCCUCAUCUAAGAGCUACACCUCUAAGAAUUAAAAUAUUAACAUAAAAUGAUCCAUUUUUUGAUCAAUGAACCAAGUUACCCUGGGGAUAACAGCGCAAUCCAUUUCAAGAGCCCCUAUCGACAAAUGGGUUUACGACCUCGAUGUUGGAUCAGGGUAUCCUAGUGGUGCAGCAGCUACUGAAGGUUCGUUUGUUCAACGAUCAAAACCCU